rnacentral:rRNA from 1 species
CGACGCACUGGAGGAACUCUGAUGCAGCGACGCCGCGUGAGUGAUGAAGGCUUUCGGGUCGUAAAGCUCUGUCGCAGGGGACUAACACAAUGAAUGUACCCUGUAAGAAAGGAUCGGCUAACUUCCCGCCAGCCGCCGCGGUAAUAA